GGUUUUAUAAUUUAAAAUAAAAUAUUAAAUUGCAAAUUUAAAAAUAGAUUAAUAAUCUUAAAACUU
rnacentral:tRNA from 1 species